AGUUACACACCCCCUGCCACAACAAGCCAUGCUCAGCCCCCUCCAGCAGAAAGGGAGCCGCCCCCGCCAGUCAGAUACACAGAAACUGAGAGGAAUGUGGACAUCCUCAACCAUUUGCUGGGUGACCUGGAGAUCUUCAUGGGUCGGCUGACAGCAGUUCUUCCAAAGGUCACGAAAAACAACAUGAAGAAUAUGAUGAAGAAGAAGAAGAAGAAAGGCAAAGCAGUCAAAGGAUUACCUCCACAGGAAGAAUAUGAAUCCUGUCUACAUAAGGUCAAAUUUGGAUUCAACCUCUUAGUAAGUUGGUUCUUUAUUUG